AGAAGAGAAAUCAUCAACUACUUGAUCUUAUCUGAGCAGAGUGUGAGAGCAAGGACUGGUUGGUAUGCGGGGGGUCUCAAAUCGAAAAGUCCCCUUCUUGGAUGUCUUUGAAUAUCGGUCUGAAGCUACCCUCUCCCCUGAAUUUUGUAACGAAGAUCAUGGGGGGCUGCUGGCGGCUCAACCAUAGAAAGACCAAGAAAGAUAUGCGGGCUUUUCUUUGACUCCAUUUGCCAUAAAGUCUUUAAAUUUCACCCUUUUGCGAUGACGACUGCCUGCGCGCUGAGCCCUUUUCUUUACUUUAAAUCGAACGGGCAGUGAUGGCCUUGCGGGCUUUCCAGUUCCGAAUUUGUUUCUUUGGCUGUUACUUAUUUGUUGAACUGAAUGGUUUUGUUUUUGUUUUCUUCAUAUAUUUACGUCUCUCUAUGAAUGCGUGUGUAUUUGUAUGUAUGUAGAAUGCCCGUUUCUCAAGCAGAGUGGUGCUUGUUAGCUGCUGGCAGGAAUGAAGAUAGACAGAAGGGGUGCGGGGGUCAAGAUGAGAACGCGGACGAUGCUUCCUUUUACAAUGGAGUGUGUUGGGGGUACAACUUAUGCAUUGCUGUCCUGUUUAUCGAGUGGGAACCUAUUUUUGCCUGUAUUCUACGUAGAGUUGAGGAGUGCACGGUUUAAGCUUUAAAAAGAAUAAAAUUUAUUAUUAAAAAA